ensembl:lncRNA
GUCUGAGCAAGAAAUGGUGGAGGAUACAGAAUGAGUAAGAAUUAAUUUGACUUGACUUGAGCUCUGUUGUGGAAGUCUAAACUGAUCAGAUUCAUUGGUAGUUAGAUUGCAGGUAGGCAUGGGCGAUCCAUUAGUAAUGUCUGCCAUAGGCAAGGGAAGCGGCAGUUUCCAUAUGCAUGCUCUAUAGUGACCAUCUCUGUUUUAUAAGUCAGUUCCAGGCUGAUAAGAAGGAGACGAGGAGGAUGAAGGCUCGCUCAGGGAUAGUAAUCUGUGCCUGCAGAUAUUCCAGGGGGUGCCUUUGAAAGGCAAUAUCCAAUGACUGUUCAUGGAGGCACUGGGGAGGAGAGUGUUAGAUGCCCUGUUAUCUCAACCUGAGAUUGUCCAGGGAUCAGUAAGGCAAAUGGGGCCCUCACAAAACCAAAUUAGACUGAAUUCCUAUAGAUAGGUGCAAAGGACCAACCUGAUUCCAUGGAGAUGCAUGGAAUCCUGAUUCUGUGAUUCUUCAUUCAAAGAGAAAAGACAAGACAGACAGCCAUUGAUGAAGCAGGUUAAUAGAAAAACAGUUUUUAAUUAUGUCAGGUAAAAACAGAGGGUCAGAGAGAGCCCCUUCUUCUUCCCACCCUACAAAUAGGAAGGAUUGGGGAUGGGAAGAUGAGCCACGGGAAGUGCCUUUGGGUUUUUUUUCUUCUAUAAACCCCUGUCUUCUCUAAGAGGAUCAGAACAUCAUCGUGUGACUGGGCAGAGUGGAAAGACAGUCUGGAGCUAGGAAGGGAACCAGACUAGAGAAGAGUGGUUUUGAAAGCCUGAAAUACCCACAUGAAGAUGUGGCAAGACUACAGUCUGGAGGCCCCGGGAUUCUUAUUACAAAAAUUUUAAAUCCUUCAGAUAAAGGAAACUUUGUGAGAUUAUGAUGUUGAACAGGACUGAAUAUGCAAUAUACAACCUUAUAUUUAAAAAAAAAAACGGGAGUCCAGUGUGGUGCAGUGGUUAACGCAUCCAACUAGGAACCAUGAGGUUGCAGGUUUGAUUCCUGGCCUUGCACAGUGGGUUAAGGAUCCGGCGUUGUCGUGAGCUGUGGUGUAGGUCGCAGACGCGGCUCGGAUCUGGUGUUGCUGUGGCUCUGGUGUGGGCUGGCGGCUGGAGCUCUGAUUAGACCCCUAGCCUGGGAAUCUCCGUGUGCUGCGGGUGCGGCCCUAGAAAAGACAAAAAAUUUAAAAAAAAAUUUUUUUUAAUGUGAGGGUAUGUUUUAUAAUUAUAGGCCAGUCUGCUCAGCUUCCAUUCCUGCAAAGAGUCUAGAAAAAAACUGUCAAACUUCGAGCUAAAAUCUCUGCCCUUGUUCCCUCGGUUCUCACAGCCAGCCCUGUGGGAACAUCCAGCCCUGGACAAACUCCAUUUCCUUCAUUGAAAGAUGGGGUGGGAAACAAGGCCCACUAGAGCCUUCCACUCAGACCCCGUCCCCUCCCUUCUCCUCAAGCCUGGGAGAGCUGUGUGGACCCCCGCCUCUCAAGCCCAGCUGGUGUUCAGACCCCUCACCUAACCCUCACCCAGGAGGGUGUUGACAGCACUCACUUGAGAGCCCAGCCUGAAAUCUGCCAGGAUGCUGGGCCAGCUUGGAGAACCACUGGGGUGGCUCAUUUUAAAAUACUCACUUUUAAAGAUACAUUAGUCUAUUAGCGAUAUGUAUGUAAUUUUUGUAAAGGAGGCAUAAAAGAUUAGUAUGGGAUGAACAGUAAGCCUCCUGAACUUUUAGCCCCCUUCUGGCUGUUCCAUAUUUACUUGCUUUUCCAGGACAUCUUAACCCGUAGACAAACAGGCAAGUGCAGCCCCCUUUUUAAAAUAGGGAAAGGGGACGGAGUUCCUGUCGUGGCUCAGUGGUUAACGAAUCCGACUAGGAGCCAUGAGGUUGUGGGUUUGAUCCCUGGCCUCGCUCAGUGGGUUAAGGAUCCGGCAUUGCCCCGAGCUGUGGUGUAGGUCGCAGAUGUGGCUCAGAUCCUGAGUUGCUGUGGCUGUGGUGUAGGCCAGCAGCUGUAGCUCCAUUAGACCUCUAGACUGUGAACCUCCAUAUGCCGUGGGCGUGGCCCUAGAAAGCAAAAAAUAAGAUAGGGAAAGGAUUAGGGGAUCAUUCCUUCCUUUUUUAGUACUUAUCGAGUACCUACUGGAUGCUGGAAGUUGAGAAUACAGUGAUGCAGAAAAGAAAAAUGUCCUGGACCUCCGGGCGUAGACAGUCGGAAGGCUGGGGUGAGGACUGAAAAGCAUGUAAACAAAUAAGAUAAAAGAAUCACAAAUUGUGAUCCUACAGAGAAAAUCAACAGUGUGCUGUGGUAGAGCAGUGGGGGGAGGGGAUCAUUAAGGGGACACCAGAGGAUGAGGAGUCGGUCAUAGAAAGAGGGCUGAAUGUCUGGGGGUGAGGUGUCUAUCAGCAUCUGCUCAUGUAUGAAUAUGUGGGCGUCUGGGUUGCCUGUGUAGUGUGGAGUGUCUGUGCAUUGGAGUGUGCACUUCUCUACCUCUGCGGGUGUCUGUGGGCCUGUCUGUGCACACCUGUGUGGUAUGUGGCAGAAAGGCUUGCUCUGGGAUCUGACAGCUCCUGCGUUCAGAGGAUGGAGGCGUUGAUGAGAUGCAGAUGGAGAGCAGGGCUCCACCUAGGCCUGCAGGCCUCCUUGCUGAGUCGAAGGGGCCUGGGAUUUUGACCCAUGGAGCUGAUGGAGAGGUAUGCAGAGGAAUGACAAAAUCCCAUGGCAUUGUCAGGGCUCCCUGUGAAACAGUGUCAUGAGGGCAAGUGGGUGGUCUGGAGGAGGCUGGGUGGUAGCAGAGGAUGGCUUGGGUUUCCCUAGAAGUGGAGCCGAUUCGACCCAUUGGUGGGUGGUUUAAUGUGGCAGAGUCAAAUGACAGGAGAUGUCUCCUAGGCUCCUGGCCCGAGCAUCUGGGUAGAUUUGAUGCCAUUUCCCGAGAUAGGACAACACUGGGGAGCAGGCAGGAGCCCAGGAUUCCCCCUUGGCCAUGAAAAAUCUGAGAUGCUGUGGGCUCCCAGAGGGGACAUCAGGUCUGCAGCGGGUGUGCAAGUGGGGCCCAGAGUCCUGUGGGCUGGAGACGAGACCUUCAGAGGACCCGGCCACAUCCAUGGACCGGGCAGACACCCUGGGGACCUACAGGGUGGACAUGGAGCUGGGGUGUUUGCAGGGCUGGCUCCCCGAGCAUCAAGACCCUAGAACUCUGGGUUAUUACCCUAGGGACUAAGACAGGCUUCCCAGAGGCUAAGUCAUGCCACCCUCAGAAAAUAAGGGUCCAUUGCAUCACUGAGAUAAUCAUCGCCUGCGUGCCAUCCCUAACCAGCCAUAGGCUGAGUUAAUCCUCGCAACAGCCCCAAGAAGCAGGCUCUGUGAUUAUUCCCACUGUACUGAUGAUGAAACUGAGGCUCAUCAUAGUGGUUGCAUAACAUUAUGGUGUAGAAAGGGUCUGAAACCAGGCCAGUCUGACUGCAAAGCCCAUUUUCUUAGUGUUUACAUUUUAUGCUGAGCACUUGCUAUGUAACCUCUUAAAGUUACAACCACCCUUCAGUGAGGAUGUUACUAUUGCACCCGUUUUACGGAGGGAAAAUUGAAUUUCAGAGAGGGAAUGCCUUGCUCAGUGUCACACGGCUGGUAAGUGGCAGCAUCAGGAUUUGAACCCAAGCCUAUGGGAAGCCCUGAACUCUCUUUUGGGUAUGGGAACUGCUCCUGGCCACCAGCCCCUGCCUCUCUCUACUGGCAAUAAAAGUCUGUGUCCCCCCACCCAACCCAAAAUGUCCCACUGACCCACCGAGGGCAGGAGAUGGGACUUGACCAUCAGGGCUGCCCCAGCAACUUCCUAGGCAAGGCUUUACAAAUUAGUGAGAAGUAUCAGCUGUUCACCGGCUCCUCAGCAGUCUGUGGCGAGACCUGAGAGAGAUGGGUUUAUCACUGCAGCCUGUUCCUGGAGCCAGCGGCUGGAGCUUCUGUUGGACUCAAGUAGCUUUAAAGUCCCCAUUGCUGGGGCAAGAAGCCUCAGGCAGCUCAUGGGCUUCCCUGUCCACCAGAGACCCUGAUGGUUCACGGGGCAGCUCUGUCCAUCAGAGCAUUGACAGAACAGCACUAAACAGUUCCUGAACAGAGGGAGCUCCAUGUGUGAUUCAGUGCUUGCUCCAGCAAAUAUUUAUGUGUGUGUGUGGACAUAUUUAUGUGUGAGUUUCUUGAACCAGUAGUUGGUAAAAGUUACAUGCUAAUUUAGAAACCUACCUGCAAAGCCUCCAGAAGACCCUGUUUGAUUAGCAGGGCUCUUAGGAUUUGGGGUCAGGCUGCCGAAUUCAAGUCCCAGCUCUGCUACUUACUGGUUGUCUGACCUUGUGCUUGACUGCUGUUAACCACUUCACACUUGAGUCUCCCCACCUCAUAGGACUGUAAGAAGCAAAUGAGCCAAGAACUGUAUCUAGCAUACAUUCUCAAUGUAUGUUAUCUUAGUGUUACUAUUGUUGUUACUGCUCUCUAAAGUAGGUUUUUCUGGAAGUGAACAGAUAGUGAAGUGUUAUGCUUUAUAGGCCACACGAUCUCUGUGACAAUUGCUGGACUCUGCUGUUGGACAAUAUAUGUAUGAAUGGAUGUGGUUAUGUUCUAAUAAAACUUCCCUGUGGCUUAUAUAUGAGUAUGAGGGGAGGAUGUGAUCCUGGAGCUGCCAGCAGUCAUUUUUCCCAUGUUACUGGGAGAGCCAGCUAUGGGAGGAGAGAAGGAAGACAGCUUGGAGGGAAGCAGAUCCAAUAGAAAGAAAUCAAAACCUGCCAGUGUUGUUUGAGCUGCUAGAUCCCACCAUGCCUGAAGCUACCCCAGCACUGUUUAUAUGUAUGAGCAAUGGUUUCCCUUUUAUGCUUAAGCCACUCUGAGUCUAAGAAUCCUAAAUAGUAUAAGCAUUCUCUCUGCUCAUGCCCUUCUGCUUGAGCCAGAUGUAGUCUCCACUUAAAUCUGCUGAUUCCCACCCACUCUUGCCUGCCAGGGGUCAAGUCCAUGAUACUACCCAAGAACAUCUUUUCAGAUCCAACAUAUAGCCACAUGCCAUACCUUUCCUAGUGGAAAUAGUUUCUCUUUCCUUUUCAAGGUUAUGUAAUCUCAAUCAGGUAGAUGACUUCAUUUCCAUGAACUUUAAGUCCUUUCUUCUGUAAAAUGAAGUUAAUCAUGGGACCUACUGCAUAGGGUGAGUUAAAAGGCUUAAUAUUUAUAAAGUGCUUAGAAUUGUCCCUGGCAUACAGUAAGUGCUACCUAAGUGUCCACUGUCAUUACUACCUGGUAACCGAGCUCAGAGACUCAGUAGGCAUUUUUCUUCCAAAUGAAGGAGCCCAUCAACUCCCUGAGGCAGAGAAUUAGAAUAAGCCAGUCAUGGAAAGGGACCAUGAAGGAGCCACAUGGAAUGGGCAAAAACUCUAUGGUGUUUGUGGUCAGGAUUUGGGCUGUGGUUGCUUCAAGGAUUUAUAAAACCUUGAGACAGGGAGGAAUGUGAGAAGUUCUACAAGCAGUCUGGGAUGUGAGUGUUUGGAAUUUAGACCUUCACUACUUAAAGUGCAGUCAGCUGUGGGCUGGUAGCGUCAGCAUCACCUGAAUGCUGUUAGAAAUGCAGGGACAGGAGUUCCCAUUGUGGCCUAGUGGAAACGAAUCUGACUGGUAUCCAUGAGGAUGUGGGAUCAAUCCCUGGCCUCACUCAGUGGGUCAGGGAUUCAGAGUUGCCAUGAGCUGUGGUGUAGGUCACAGACAUGGCUCGGAUCUGGCUCUGAUGUAGGCCAGCAGCUACAGCUCCAAUUCAACCCCUAGCCUGGGAACUCCUUAUGCCACGGGUGCAGCCCUAAAAAGCCAAGGGGAAAAAAAAGGAAGAAAUUCAGGGACAUGGCUCCUUGCUGGACCUGCAGUCAGAAUCUGUGUUUAGAUCCCAUGUGAUUCUUGUCCACAUUUAAGUUUGAGAAGCGGAGGGGAUGCUCAGACUCUGGCAACAGGGCCCUUGUGUCAUAAGGGGCUAUUUCUGGAGGUGAGGACCUGAGGGACAUGGGCCUAUCAGCUGUUUUGUUAGAAAACAUGUGGUUCCUGCUGUCUGGGGUGAGGAGGAGGCGCCUCCUUCUAUCGCCCAGGAAAAGAGAAGUUGGAAGGUCACUGAGGGCCACAGCUGUCGGGACAGCAGGAGGUUCUGCAGAGCCAAGCCAGAGUGACCUCGCCGGGAAAGUGACUGCUGGACAAUGGUUGAACAGAGGUGGGUACAGAAAACACAAGGGUUUGGGGAGAGGGACACGCGCUUGCUGUCAUCACUCUUUAUUAUGAGAAAGUCAGUGCUGUGCUAAGGUGGGAAUGGAGUGGGGGAUGGGGGUUUGGGCCAAGUGCAGAGAGCAGGACCUUUGAAAUCCUUACAGAUCUGCAUCUGAAUCCUUGUGUUCCUGCAGCUUGCUCACCAUGUAACCUUGAGCAAGGAAAGCAGUGUCUCUGAGCCUUGUUAUUCUUGUCUAGAAAAUGGGGUUAAAAUAGAACUGACCUAAUAGGGACUUAGGGAUGGUGAAUGCAGGGGUAACUGGAGCUGGCCUGUGAGGGCUGUUAGCCUCCCUCCAGCUCCAGGGGUGGUGAUGUCACAGUGGAGAUUUGAACUUGAUCAUGGUGGGCAAAUUUAUACCAUGGAAAUGGUUCACAUCAGAACUUUGCCUUUUUUCCCAGAGAGCUAGUUUUUAAGUGCACUACUGUUUACCGGUUUACCAGCACCCCACUGGUUAAAUGACCAAAUGUAUUUAAUUUGCUGUGUCCAAUGCUCGUUAGUAGUUGUUAGUAAUUACUGUGUUACUAUUAUAUUAAUUAUAGGGCUACAAUAUUAUUAUUAUUAUUAUUAUUAUUUGUCUUUUUGCCUUUUCUAGGGCUGCUCCCAUGGCAUAUGGUGAUUCCCAGGCUAAGGGUCUAAUCAGAGCCAUAGCCACCGGCCUACGCCAGAGCCACAGCAAUGCUGGAUCCGAGCCACGUCUGCGACCUACACCACGGCUCAUGGCAAUACCAGAUCCUCAACCCACUAAGCAAGGCCAGGGAUUGAACCCACAACCUCGUGGUUCCUAGUCGGACUCCUUAACCACUGCACCAUGACGGGAACUCCUACAAUAUUAUUAAUAUUGUAUAAAAUGUGAAGUUUCCAUUGUGACUCAGCUGUAACAAACCCGACUAGCAUCCAUGGGGAUGUGGUUUCGAUCCUUGGCCUCGCUCAGUGGGUUAAGGAUCUGGAGUUGCUGUGGUGUAGGUCACAGACUGGACUAGAAUCUGGCAGUGCUGUGACUGUGGUGUAGGCUGGCAGCUGCAGCUCUAACUUGAACCCCAGCUUGAGAACUUCCAUAUGCCACAGAUAAGCCCAUAAAGACCAAAAAAAAAAAAAA